GUGGGGAAUAUUGGACAAUGGGCGAAAGCCUGAUCCAGCCAUGCCGCGUGUGUGAAGAAGGUCUUCGGAUUGUAAAGCACUUUAAGUUGGGAGGAAGGGCAGUAAGUUAAUACCUUGCUGUUUUGACGUUACCAACAGAAUAAGCACCGGCUAACUUCGUGCCAGCAGCCGCGGUAAUACGAAGGGUGCAAGCGUUAAUCGGAAUUACUGGGCGUAAAGCGCGCGUAGGUGGUUCAGCAAGUUGAAGGUGAAAUCCCCGGGCUCAACAUGGGAACGGCCUCCAAAACUACUGAGCUAGAGUACGGUAGAGGGUAGUGGAAUUUCCUGUGUAGCGGUGAAAUGCGUAGAUAUAGGAAGGAACACCAGUGGCGAAGGCGACUACCUGGACUGAUACUGACACUGAGGUGCGAAAGCGUGGGGAGCAAACAGGAUUAGAAACCCUGGUAGUCC
rnacentral:rRNA from 1 species